UCAAUCAUCCUAGGUUAUAUUUCAGGAAAGAUACGGUCCAGUUCUAUACGAAUACUGAUGGGGGAUAGGGUCAAAAUUGAAGUAAGUCGUUAUGAUUCAAGCAAGGGAUGUAUAAUUUAUAGACUUCCCCAUAAGGAUUCGAAGCGUAUCGAAGACUCGAAGGAUAGCGAAGAUUUGAAGGAUAGCGCUAGGAGGAAUUGUUGUUUCACUCCUCCAAGCGUUCCUCCAGCAUAG
rnacentral:rRNA from 1 species